rfam:Omnitrophica WOR_2 bacterium SM23_72 WORSMTZ_20919, whole genome shotgun sequence.
GCGCCUGUGGCCCAAUGGAUAGGGCAAUGGCCUCCGGAGCCAUGUGUGCAGGUUCGAUUCCCGCCAGGCGCA